rnacentral:rRNA from 1 species
CCUACGGGAGGCAGCAGUAGGGAAUAUUGCACAAUGGGCGCAACUGAUGCAGCGAUGCCGCGUGAGGGAAGAAGGUUUUCGGAUUGUAAACCUCUGUCAUCGGGGACGAAAAUGACGGUACCCGAGAAGGAAGCUCCGGCUAACUACGUGCCAGCAGCCGCGGUAAU